UCAGUAACGGCGAGUGAAGCGGCAACAGCUCAAAUUUGAAAUCUGGCCCCCCUCUGGGGGGUCCGAGUUGUAAUUUGCAGAGGGCGCUUUGGCAUCGGCGGCGGUCUAAGUUCCUUGGAACAGGACAUCGCAGAGGGUGAGAAUCCCGUACGUGGGCGCCUGCCUUUGCCGUGUAAAGCCCCUUCGACGAGUCGAGUUGUUUGGGAAUGCAGCUCUAAAUGGGAGGUAAAUUUCUUCUAAAGCUAAAUACCGGCCAGAGACCGAUAGCGCACAAGUAGAGUGAUCGAAAGAUGAAAAGUACUUUGGAAAGAGAGUCAAAUAGCACGUGAAAUUGUUGAAAGGGAAGCGCUUGCAGCCAGACGUGCGCGCGGUUGCUCACCCCGGCUCUCGCCUGGGGCACUCUUCCGCGCGCAGGCCAGCAUCAGUUCGGGCGGUCGGAUAAAGGCCUCUGUCAAGUACCUUCCCCCGGGAAGGCCUUAUAGGGGAGGCGCAAUGCGACCAGCCCGGACUGAGGUCCGCGCAUCUGCUAGGAUGCUGGCGUAAUGGCUGUAAGCGGCCCGUCUUGAAACACGGACCAAGGAGUCUAACAUCUAUGCGAGUGUUUGGGUGUCAAGCCCGGGCGCGCAAUGAAAGUGAACGGAGGUGGGAUCCCCUUCCGGGGUGCACCAUCGACCGAUCCUGAUGUCUUCGGAUGGAUUUGAGUAAGAGCAUAGCUGUUGGGACCCGAAAGAUGGUGAACUAUGCUUGAAUAGGGUGAAGCCAGAGGAAACUCUGGUGGAGGCUCGCAGCGGUUCUGACGUGCAAAUCGAUCGUC
rnacentral:rRNA from 1 species